UUCCGCAAAGACAGCAAAACUCUGAAUUACUAUUGCUCGAAGAUCCUGUCAGGGUGCAAGGCUCGACUGAAGCUGUCGGUAGACGGGGAAGUUAGAGAAGCAAACUGCAAUCACACGCACGAACCCCCGAAAUACUACAGGACACCCACCGGACAAUAUAUUAAAAUGCCGAAACUACACGAUGAUACCGACACGCAAAGGCAACCAUUUGCUGAUGAUGAACGGGUUCACAUUUCACAAAGACAGGAAAAGUCUGAAUUACCAUUGCUCGAAGAUCCUGUCAGGGUGCAAGGCUCGGCUGAAGCUGUCGGUAGAUGGGGAAAUCAUCGAAGCGAACUGCAGUCACACGCACGAACCCCCAAAAUACUAUAUAACUCCUACCGGACAAUAUAUUAAAAUGCAGAAACUACACGAUGAUACCGACAGCCAAAGGCAACCAUUUGCUGAUGAUGAACGGGUUCACAUUUCACAAAGACAGGAAAAGUCUGAAUUACCAUUGCUCGAAGGUCCUGUCGGGGUGUAAGGCUCGGCUGAAGCUGUCGGCAGACGGGGAAGUUAGAGAAGCGAACUGCAAUCACACGCACGAACCCCCAAAAUACUACAGGACACCCACCGGACAAUAUAUUAAAAUGUAAAAAAACAAUAUCUCAAAUGUCGCGAGACGUCAAAUGUGAAUUACAGCUCUGUUAAGUCACGUGUCGUUAAUAAAUUUUAAAAGUAAAUUA